UUAUGAUGCUAUAAGUGAACCAGAAGAUGCAGUCAUACAUAUAAGCCAGAUAAAACACUAGAGAUUGCCCAUGUAAAGCUCUUCCAGGACUCCAGGCAUCAUGGAUGUACCAUGACAGGAUGAUGUCAUCCAGAACAGACAGAACCCUUGCCACUAGCCCUCCCUCCUUCCAGCCUAGUCAGAGAACAGUGUCAGAAGGUCUGCCUUUUGGGACUAAGCAUAACAAAUCUCCAGCUUCUCUUGCAAAUAUUUUAAGACAGCUAGCAUGUUCGCAAUGUCAAACCUUCUUUUCUCCAGGCUAAACAACACAUUUUUUUAAAAAUCAGUUCUCAAAGGGCAUAACCUCCAUUCCCCUGGACUCUUUCUGAAGUCAAACAUCUAAAGAAGUCAAAGUUCUGAAGAUGGCAAACAUCUAACUAUGAGACCCUCUACUUCCUACACAGUACUCUCCCAAGAAUUUCAUGGGGUAGGCAUGGGGGGGCAGAGAGUAAGAGGAACUUGGAGAAGAUAGGGAGGUAGGGCAUGCAUUUUCCUGCCUGAGAACCUAGGGUUGUGGUCUCCUGGAGAAAAGGGAAUGUUUUACUCAAAGCCAUUCUCUACUCCAAUCUAUCUCCAAUGGGGGGAAGAAAAGCACAAAAGCUUGGUGGCUUCCAGCUUAAGUAA